rnacentral:lncRNA from 1 species
GGAUUGCUUUAAGUUCUCAACUUCUUCUUCCAGUUCCUUCUUUCUUAACAGCAUCUCCUGAUACAUUUGGUGAAACCACCGGCUUUCGCCCUCCGUUUUUCGAAGCCUCUUCCUCAAAACUUCGGACUCUGCUUCUACAUCCUUGACCGCCUGCUGCUCAUAGGUCAGCUGAAUUUUCAGCCGCUGUAGUUUGGCCUUCUCCUUCCCAAGG